AAAUCAUGAUGAAAGUAUUUUCUAAGCAUUUCCUUUAAUCUUUCACAACUCUCUUGAAUGAAUUAUCCUUCAAACUGUGUAAAAGAAGUUAUUUCAUUUCUAUGUUU